UUUUUUUUUUUUUUUUUUUUUUUUGUGAUGGAGUCUUGCUCUGUCACCCAGGCUGGAGUGCAGUGGCGUGAUCUCGGCUCACUGCAAGCUCUGCCUCCUGGGUUCAAGCAAUUCUCCUGCCUCAGCCUCCUGAGUAGCUGGAACUACAGGCACCUGCCACCACGCCCAGCUAAUUUUUGUAUUUUUAGUAGAGACAGGGUUUCACCAUGUUAGCCAGGCUGGUCUCUAACUCCUGACCUCAAGUGAUCUGUCCAUCUUGGCCUCCCAAAGUGCAGGAGGGAUUACAGGUGUGAGCCACUGCACCUAGUAACUAGCUUUUGACCUUAAGAAAAAUCUAUACAUCUGUCUAAAGCCAGAUUUUUACAUUAGGUUGAAGACUCAAGUUUCCUAUGGCCAGUCUUCUGAUAAUGGAAUUAUAGUGGAAUUUCAUGAGGACCACAUAGAAAUUAGCUUGAGGAUUAAAGAUUGCAAUCUGCUCCAGUAAAUGUCAGGAAGAGAUUUGAAAAAUAUUUUUAUAGAAUGUAAAUGUUUUCCAUUUUGAAAUACUCUUGGAGCGGAAAAAAGCUGAGUCAUUAAAAGUUUUAAAAACUCAAGAAAUCAGGUUAAAUAAGAAAAAUAUUAACUCCUAAAAAAUGACUUCUACUUUCAUCUACCAUGAAUUUUGUUUGUUUUCAAGGUGAUCUUAACCACAUAAAAAUAAUUUUAGAAGGAAAAGAAAUCCAAAAUACCACUACCCUGGCACUCACUGUAACUAAUUAUUUCCCAGGCUUUUUCCAAUUUCAGUCUCCAUGCAAGUUUACUAACCUCUUAGACAGUCGAGCAACACUUCCUCUUCUGGGCAUACUCAACAGAUAAGUAACAGCUGCUCACUCUGUGGGAUGCAGUGGGUUCAGUUUCAUUCCUCUGAACCCAUGGCUGAUCUUAGGGUACACAUGUUACUUAUAUUGCACUUGUAUUGCAAUCACCUUUUAAUCUCCGACAUCUAAACUGUAAUUCCUGAAAAGUAAGUUUAAUGCACAUGAAAACGCCCACCCCUUGUGGACAAGACCCUGGAGAUGAGUUCUGAUAAACACAGUGUCUGCCCUGGUGAGGCUCAAGGUAGAGUGAGAAAGACCAGCAAGAGAACAGACAAUUAGAGAACAGACAAUUCAAAGGAACAAUUAGAGAAGUGCCAUGUAAUUUUUCAAUCAAUAUAAGUUUUCAAUCAAUAUAAGUAUCUAUUUUGGUCUCCUUGAAAAAGUUCAGUAUAUUGAGUAUGUUAAAUAAAUACUUAUUCACGAUGUAAAGAAGUAAUUUGUUCCUAUUACCAAGGACAAGACCAGGUGCCCCUCUUGUGUGCACCUGCAUCUUUCCCAUCAUAGCACUUGCAUCCAGGCACUACGACUGUGCAUCCGCUUCACUUCCUUGCCCCCUAGAUCAUGAACCUCAGGGAGGAACUGUGUCCUGCUCUGGCAUCCUUGGUCUGACAUCUGGUCAUCAAUUCAGAAGUGGUGUGUGUGUGUGUGUGUGUAUUUUUGAGAUGGGGUCUUGCUCUGUUGCCCAUGCUGAAGUGUAUCUGUACAAUCAUAGCUCACUGCAGCUUUGAACUCCUGGGAUUAAGUGAUCCUCCCAAGCAGCUGGGACUACAUGUGUACACUACCCUACCUGACUAAGUAAAAAGAAUUUUUUUUUUUGGUAGAGAAAGGAUCUCACUAUGUUGUCCAGGCUGGUCUCAAACUCCUGGGCUCAAGCCACUGAUGCUCCUACUUUAGUCACCCAAAGUGCUGGGAUUACAGGUAUAAGCCAUUGUGCCUGUCUUUACACAUUUGAAUAAAGCUGUAGAAGAUAAAUUGUUCUUAGAAUGCAAGUUGGAGAGAAGCUGGCUAUUUCUGCCCUAAGACCAAAAAAAAAAAAAAAAGGUGACACCUCCAAUCAAAAAACAAUUGGAUUUUCAUCAUACCCUUACUAGGGAAAAUGCCCUGAAAAAUAAUCUCCAAUGAAGGACUGUAGACAUCUUGAGAACUCUUUUCCUCAUCCUGAACUCUGUUUUCUUAUUUCACACUUUCGUCUCCACACUUCCAGACCUGACGUCUCUAACUGUAAAGUGUGGUGUUGCCUCACAAAACCUCAUGACAGAAUUUUCUUUUAAUUAGCGCAUUCAUAAUAGCAACAAUAAUUCUAAUCAUUAAUAAGCCGCUCACUCCGCUUAGGAACAAACACAAAUGGCAAGAAGUCAAUGUUAAUUUUAAAACACAUGUAAACAAGAAUCCAGGAAGGCCAAACACAUAACCUUUUGGCAUUAUUAAUGGCAAAAAAAAAAUUUUCCACUGAGCUCGAGAAGUAAAUGCUACAACUGCACUACAUAUGUUUCUACCUUCACUUUUCAUAACAAAAAUAAAUUGAUUAUUAUGUUGCGAUUUAAAAAAGACCUCAGUUUUCCCUUCCCCAAAUACCCAAAGCUUCAUGAGGGUAGGAAUCAUUUCUGUCCUACUCCCUAAUGCUGCGGUAGUUCUGGCAUAUAGUGGAUGUUCAAUCCAUCUGUGUUGAAUGAAUGAAUCAAUCCAAUCUCAAAGGUGUCCUGACAGAUCCCUUGUGGAAACAUGUAUAACCCC
rnacentral:lncRNA from 1 species